AGCGGGUAUUUGGAGCUAUAUGUCUUAAACUGACAUUUUUUUGUUCUCCAAUACUGCAUCACUAGCCAAGAGAAUGGAAACUUAAAAUGCCAGCAUAAACUUCAGCAUCAAUGAACCCUCUUGAAUCUUCCUGUUUUCAAAUCUUUUCAUGACUGAGAAUAUCUGAAUGUAACAAUGGUGAUGAUUUAGAGGAAGCCACAAAACCAGGUGGAGACCAGAGUUACCAUUUAUUACAGGAAAAGACUCUUAUGGAAAAGGACUAGCCAGAAGAGCUGUCUCACUGAUAAGAGAUAGAAACAAACUGACUAGAAAUGAGAUGCCCUUCUGUAAGGAAAAAAAAAAAACCUUGCUCCUGGACUUUCUACCAUGA
rnacentral:lncRNA from 1 species